GUAGAUCUCUGCUUCCGCUUCCCUCAGUCAUUGGAUGAGAGUUCUAGCACGACAGUUAGGGUGUUUGGCCAUCCUAUCACCAGAGUAGAUGGGGCCUAUUGGACAGAAGGUUAUACUGCACGGCACACUGAAGCUCCUGAUGGCACCAGGAUGAAUGAAGAGAUAUUGGAAAGAUAGAGGAGAAUUUUUUUCUCCCAUGGCACAUCUUUUGUGCUGUAAUAUUGAAGACAAUGAUGUCCUGAAAAUCAAAGCCAAUCUGAGAGAAAUAGUUAAAUGGAUUGUCAAAGACUGACCAGCAUAUCCUAUGCAAAGAGAAAGGACAGAACCACAUACCCAUCUUCCAUGGCAAUUACCGCAGAGGAGGUAAAAUGCAGAAGUAGAAAUGAAGGCUUUCAAGGAUGAGUGGGCACUGAAAAUUGGUAAAGUGGCAGGAAAGUCCAAGUUAUGGAGAGAAGAGAAAAAUGUGUAUAGGAAAAGGAGUUUGGUAAACAGGGAGGAAAAAAUGAUAUUUUGCAGAAACAUCUGUUUGCUGUUGCUGAAAUUUUCGCCUUUAAAUGUUCUAGUUUGGGCUCUGAAGUUAGCACUUCCCUGGAGUGGUUCACACCUUUGCUAUUGCUCCUGCUCAGUUACAGAUCAUUUUAUGCAAGGCUGAUUUUAACAAGAAAAUGAUGCAUUAAUUUACAACGUGCUGAGUAUUUUAAAAGUGGCAAAAUCUAGGCUUUUGUGAAAUUUUAGAAUCUGGAAAAAUAGAAAUACUUAUGUAAAGCUCUUUAAAAUAUCAGAAUGGCUUCAUGCACAAGAAAUUAUACCCUGAUUAAAAUCAUUAUAAAAUUCAGUUAUACAAAAUACAUCAACCUCCACUAAUCAUUUUUUUUCUGUCAUUUUAGAGUUUCUUUUCAGACAUGCAGCCUGUACAACCUCAGACAUUACUGAACUAUAAAUUUAUUAAUAUUCUUAUACAUUUAACCCAUCCUGUAUCUAUUCUUACACCCUUUUCUCUGCUUCACUUUCAUUUCUUUUUCUUUCCCUUUGUUUCCCCUCCUUUGUAUCUGAAUCUCAUUUGUUUAAACCAUGAGGAUUGUGUCGCUAUUAAAGGUUUAUCUUAAUGGACGGAUUAGAUACCUCAGUUGGUAAAGUGCUUGCCAUGUGGACUUGGAGGUCUGAGUUCAAUCAACAAACCCCACAUAAAGGGCCAGACAUUUUCAUACAGACUUAUAAUCCUAGAUCUGGGAAGGCAGUGGUAUGUGGCUCUCUGGUACUCAGUGGCCAGCCAUACUUGACUACUCCAUAAAUUCCAGAUCAAAAAGAACCACUGUCAAAUCUUUGAAGGCUAACUACAGAGAAAGAGUAACUUAGAUGGAUAGCUGGUCACUUUACAUGGGCACAUGAGAACAUGAAUGUACACCCGCAGGCAAACACAUAAACAUACAUACAAACAUGUGUGCACACUAGAACACACACACACACAC